rnacentral:rRNA from 1 species
GUGGGGAAUAUUGGACAAUGGGCGCAAGCCUGAUCCAGCCAUGCCGCGUGAGUGAUGAAGGCCCUAGGAUUGUAAAGCUCUUUCAGUGGGGACGAUAAUGACGGUACCCACAGAAGAAGCCCCGGCUAACUUCGUGCCAGCAGCCGCGGUAAUACGAAGGGGGCUAGCGUUGUUCGGAUUUACUGGGCGUAAAGCGCACGUAGGCGGAUCGUUAAGUCGAGGGUGAAAUCCUGGAGCUCAACUCCAGAACUGCCUUCGAUACUGGCGAUCUUGAGUCCGGAAGAGGUGAGUGGAACUCCUAGUGUAGAGGUGGAAUUCGUAGAUAUUAGGAAGAACACCAGUGGCGAAGGCGGCUCACUGGUCCGGUACUGACGCUGAGGUGCGAAAGCGUGGGGAGCAAACAGGAUUAGAAACCCCAGUAGUCC